rnacentral:rRNA from 1 species
GAUCAUGCGAAUAAGUGCAUAUGUUGUAUGCCUUGGCGAUCACAGGCGAUGAAGGACGCGGUAGCCUGCGAAAAGCUACGGGGAGCUGGCAAACAAGCUUUGAUCCGUAGAUGUCCGAAUGGGGAAACCGACAAGGCGGUGUCCAGAUCAUCUGGCAAAGCGGCUAGCGCAACCGCCAACACGUAGGCGUCCUCGAUAGCCAUUGCCGCCCCCUGAGACAGGAAGGGCAGCAUGGGAUGCGCCGCAUCGCCCAGCAAAGUCACACGGC